rnacentral:rRNA from 1 species
GACGAACGCUGGCGGCGUGCCUAAUACAUGCCAGUUGAGCGAUGAAGAUUGGUGCUUGCACCAAUUUGAAGAGCAGCGAACGGGUGAGUAACGCGUGGGGAAUCUGCCUUUGAGCGGGGGACAACAUUUGGAAACGAAUGCUAAUACCGCAUAACAACUUUAAACAUAAGUUUUAAGUUUGAAAGAUGCAAUUGCAUCACUCAAAGAUGAUCCCGCGUUGUAUUAGCUAGUUGGUGAGGUAAAGGCUCACCAAGGCGAUGAUGCAUAGCCGACCUGAGAGGGUGAUCGGCCACAUUGGGACUGAGACACGGCCCAAACUCCUACGGGAGGCAGCAGUAGGGAAUCUUCGGCAAUGGACGAAAGUCUGACCGAGCAACGCCGCGUGAGUGAAGAAGGGUUUCGGAUCGUAAAACUCUGUUGGUAGAGAAGAACGUUGGUGAGAGUGGAAAGCUCAUCAAGUGACGGUAACUACCCAGAAAGGGACGGCUAACUACGUG